CCUACGGGAGGCAGCAGUGGGGAAUAUUGGGCAAUGGGUGCAAGCCUGACCCAGCAACGCCGCGUGAAGGAAGAAGGCUUUCGGGUUGUAAACUUCUUUUGUCAGGGACGCAGCAAGUGACGGUACCUGACGAAUAAGCCACGGCUAACUCCGUUCCAGCAGCCGCGGUCAUACGUAGGUGGCAAGCGUUAUCCGGAUUUACUGGGUGUAAAGGGCGUGUUGGCGGGACUGCAAGUCAGAUGUGAAAACCACGGGCUCAACCUGUGGCCUGCAUUUGACACUGUAGUUCUUGAGUACUGGAGAGGCAGACGGAAUUCCUAGUGUAGCGGUGAAAUGCGUAGAUAUUAGGAGGAACACCAGUGGCGAAGGCGGUCUGCUGGACAGCAACUGACGCUGAGGCGCGAAAGCGUGGGGAGCAAACAGGAUUAGAUACCCCAGUAGUC
rnacentral:rRNA from 1 species